rnacentral:rRNA from 1 species
CACCAGGUUGAUUCUGCCUGACGUAGACGCUAUUCUCUAAGAUUAACCCAUGCAUGUUUUUGACAUUUGAAAAAUGGACUGCUCAGUAAUACUCACUUUAUUUUAUGUAAAUUUUUAAUUAACUACGUUAAAGUGUAGAUAAGAUGUUUACAGUAAGAGUGAGACCUAUCAGCUAGUUGUUAAGGUAAUGGCUUAACAAGGCUGUGACGGGUAACGGUAUUACUUUGUAAUAUUCCGGAGAAGGAGCCUGAGAGACGGCUACUAAGUCUAAGGAUUGUGCAGCAGGGGCGAAACUUGACCUAUGGAUUUUAUCUGAGGCAGUUAUGGGAAGUAAUAUUAUAUUGUUUCAUAUUUUAAAAGUAUAUGAGGUGAUUAAUUGGAGGGCAAAUCAAGUGCCAGCAGCCGCGGUAAUACUUGUUCCAAGAGUGUGUAUGAUGAUUGAUGCAGUUAAAAAGUCCGUAGUUUAUUUUUUUAAGAAGCAAUAUGAGGUGUACUGUAUAGUUGGGAGAAAGAUGAAAUGUGACGACCCUGACUGGACGAACAGAAGCGAAAGCU